rfam:Triticum aestivum genome assembly, contig: Triticum_aestivum_CS42_TGACv1_scaffold_212035_3AS
UAGCUACUCCCUCCGUCCGAAAAUAGUUGUCAUCAAUAGUUUUAGAUACAUCGCUUUUUAUCCAUUUUGGUGACAAGUAUUUCCGGACGGAGGGAGUAUAUA